rnacentral:rRNA from 1 species
UCCGGUUGAUCCUGCCGGAGGCCACUGCUAUUGGGGUUCGGCUAAGCCUUGCGAGUGGUGGGCGUUCCGCAAGGGAUAGCCCCGCACACGGCUCAGUAACACGUAGUUAACCUACCCUCGGGACGGGAACAACGCCGGGAAACUGGCGAUAAUUCCAGAUAGGUGGGGAACGCUGGAAUGCCUCCCUGCCUAAAUCCUCUGGCGCUCGAGGAUGAGACUGCGGCCUAUCAGGCUGUUGGUGGUGUAACGGACCACCAAACCUACGACGGGUAUGGGCAAUGAGAGUUGGAGCCCAGAGAUGGGGACUGAGACAAGGCCCCAGGCCCUACGGGGCGCAGCAGGCGCGAAAACUCCGCAAUGCGCGAAAGCGUGACGGGGGAACCCCAAGUGCCGUUGGUCUUUUGAUCGACGGCUUUUAGGAAGUCUAAGAAGCUUCCGGAAUAAGGGCUGGGCAAGUCUGGUGCCAGCCGCCGCGGUAAUACCAGCAGCCCAAGUGGUGGUCGCGUUUAUUGGGCCUAAAGCGCUCGUAGCCGGGUCUGUAAGUCCCU